rnacentral:rRNA from 1 species
AACGAACGCUGGCGGCAGGCUUAACACGUGCAAGUCGAGCGCCCCGCAAGGGGAGCGGCAGACGGGUGAGUAACGCGUGGGAAUCCACCCAUCUCUACGGAAUAACGCAUGGAAACGUGUGCUAAUACCGUAUACGUCCUUCGGGAGAAAGAUUUAUCGGAGAUGGAUGAGCCCGCGUUGGAUUAGCUAGUUGGUGGGGUAAAGGCCUACCAAGGCGACGAUCCAUAGCUGGUCUGAGAGGAUGAUCAGCCACACUGGGACUGAGACACGGCCCAGACUCCUACGGGAGGCAGCAGUGGGGAAUAUUGGACAAUGGGCGCAAGCCUGAUCCAGCCAUGCCGCGUGAGUGAUGAAGGCCCUAGGGUUGUAAAGCUCUUUCACCGGUGAAGAUAAUGACGGUAACCGGAGAAGAAGCCCCGGCUAACUUCGUGCCAGCCGCCGCAGUAACAC